rnacentral:lncRNA from 1 species
GCGGUUUUUUCCGAGCGACCGUUAUCACGUGACGCAAUGGAGCAGGGUUGGGCCCUUAUGACGACUCCAGUUCGUGUGCGUUCCUGGGAGUGCGCGUGCGCCAUGAUUCGAAGUCAGCCUCCGUACCUUGAUCCACACUGCGUUGAAAGACUGGCACAUGCGGUUGUCAACACUGGUCCAGGGCUCCUACUCACGCUGUCAGGCUGCUGAGCCAUCUCACCGUUCCUCAUUUUUGUAUUUUUGAGAUACAGUUUUGCUAUUUUACCCACACUGGCUUUAAACUCGAAGAUUCUGCCUCCACUUUGAUGUCGCUAGAUUACAAAUAAGACCAUGUCACUAGGCAACUGAGGGUUUAAUAGAUUGCCCCUGUGUUAAGAGUGCUUAGCGCCGGGCAGCCGUAGCGCAGGCCUUAAUCCUAGCACUUGGGAGGCAGAGGCAGGAGGAUUUCUGAGUUCGAGGCCAGCCUGGUCUACAAAGUGAGUUCCAGGACUUCUAGGGCUACACAGAGAAACCCUGUCACAAAAAACCAAAAAAAAAAAAAAAAAAAGAGUCCUUAGCAUAGGAGGCCCUGGGUCAGACCCCCGUACCACAUACACAAAACAGGCAAAUUCCAGGCAAGGAUGAACAGAACAAAGCUCUCAAACUCCCAGGUUUUAGAGACCUACCUCACCAAAGUCUGAACUUGAGGAAAAAGUUCUAAAUGAACCCAUUUGUAGGAGACCUGAGGUGCUUCUGAUCUGGAAUACGCUCUAAAUGACACACCUGUUCUAACAGCGCCGCCAAGUGGUAGACAUGGUUAAUACGGUUUGCCUGAGGGUUUUCAGAUGGAUUUUUAAUUCCUUUUUUUAAUGUGUUUAGUGUUUUGACUGCGUGUAUGUCUGCAACAGGUUAUGUCUGUGCAUCACAUAUGUGCCAGGGUCCGCAGAAAGUCAGAAGAGAGUGUUGAAUCUUCCAGAACUGGAGUUACUUCUGAGGCGCCUCCCCAGCCCCUGCAGACAGAUAACACUUAACUCCAGAGGGAGUCUCACAGCAUCCCUGGAGACUGCAGUGAGAGCUCCUUCAACAGACAAAGUUAAUCAAGAGACUGAUGUUCCCGUGUGUCUCAGCGAAUUGAACGUCUUCAGAACUGGGAAUAGUGCACCUCUGAAGAGAUUCCUGGGUCCCCUGCCAGGGGACAAGGGGACUGUGAUACUCAGAACCAUGGUCUCUGACUAGAAGACAAUACUAGGCUGGACCUCCAGACCAUGUAAGGAUAGACCAGCCACUACCCAGAGAACUAGGAAGAGCCAAGG